rnacentral:rRNA from 1 species
AGAGUUUGAUCCUGGCUCAGAAUCAACGCUGGCGGCGUGCCUCAGACAUGCAAGUCGAACGAUUAAAGCUCUCUUCGGAGAGUGCAUAGAGUGGCGCACGGGUGAGUAACACGUAAGUAAUCUACCCUCGAGUGGGGAAUAACGUUCGGAAACGGACGCUAAUACCGCAUAAUGCAGCGACACCGCAAGGUGACAGUUGUUAAAGAUUUAUCGCUUGAGGAGGAGCUUGCGGCAGAUUAGCUAGUUGGUAAGGUAAUGGCUUACCAAGGCUACGAUCUGUAACCGGUCUUAGAGGACGGUCGGUCACACUGACACUGAAUAACGGGUCAGACUCCUACGGGAGGCAGCAGUCGGGAAUUUUGGGCAAUGGGCGAAAGCCUGACCCAGCAACGCCGCGUGAAGGAUGAAGUAUUUCGGUAUGUAAACUUCGAAAGAAUAGGAAGAAUCAAUGACGGUACUAUUUAUAAGGUCCGGCUAACUACGUGCCAGCAGCCGCGGUAAUACGUAGGGACCAAGCGUUGUUCGGAUUUACUGGGCGUAAAGGGCGCGUAGGCGGCGCGGUAAGUCACUUGUGAAAUCUCUGAGCUUAACUCAGAACGGCCAAGUGAUACUGCAGUGCUAGAGUGUGGAAGGGGCAAUCGGAAUUCUUGGUGUAGCGGUGAAAUGCGUAGAUAUCAAGAGGAACACCUGAGGUGAAGACGGGUUGCUGGGCCAACACUGACGCUGAGGCGCGAAAGCCAGGGGAGCAAACGGGAUUAGAUACCCCGGUAGUCCUGGCCCUAAACGAUGAAUACUUGGUG